GGGAGGGGAGGAGAAAGUAGGCGAGAGGAGCACGCGAGCGGCGGCCGCUGGGGCCUGUCUUCGCCUGAGCUUUGAGGCCUGGGUUUGGAACAGGGAUCACAUGCUGGGCCUCCGUAUACUGAGAGCCUUUGCUGUCAGUGACCACAGAAAGGCUGGAGUGGGCGCCCGGGCCAGCACUAGGCUCAAUCAACAGUUACUUUUGUCAUCAAGCACGGGCCUCAGGAGUCUGGAGUGAAAUGGGCAGAAAGAGCCAGAAUAUGAAAACUUCUUCGAGGGACGCCUUCAGAUUGAUGGAGGCAGGAAGACAGAUCAGGCCGGACCUCAUCUCCGAGAAUGUCCCUCAGCAUCGGUGUGCCUGACAUUUUCUCCCGAGGAGACUGAGCUUAUGGAUCAGGGGACGAUGACCACAGAGGAGAGAAGUUGAGCUCCAGUCCUUCUAUUCCUCCAUCUUAAUCCAAGAUCGCAGGAGUUGUUGCUGAACAAGGAUGAGACCCAGAUGUCCCAGCUCCAAUCCUGGCAAAGGAGGACCCAGGGCAGCGUCCGCUGUCCUUAGAUAUUUGCAUGGCUGGGAGAAGCCACAGAAAUUGGCUGGAGAAUGUUUGCAGACCUGGGUCAUCAUCUGAACCAUUUGCUGAGCUCUAAAAACAGGGAUCCCUGGGCUACCAUUCUUUGGAGGAACUAAUGAGGUAGGUCUGGGGUGGGACUGAGAGUCUAUAUGGUCACCGAGCUGCCUUGGGAUGGGGAAGCUGUGAUCCAGCCAUGUACCUCGAACCACACAGGUGAAGAGACACAGGGGUUUGAUCCGUCCUUCUGGGUCUGUCUUCAGUGACUCCCCUGCCUGCACCCUUUCUUCCUGAGAUCACCUGGUCCCAUGUUUCUUCCUUUGUCCCCACACUGAGCUCAGGCUCUCCUGUGGCAUCAGUUUGUGGAUACCAUUCUCUGCCCUUUUAGGCUAGGGGCUUUCAAAGGCCAGAUUCAGGGGCACAGUUGGGUCUCCCCACCAAAGGCCACUCCUGGUUCUACAUCCAUUGAGGACCGGGCAGCUGCGCCAUAGGUGGGAGGUGUGGCUUUGACUUCUACAUGGCUCCUCCCUGGCUGGGGGCACCCAGGAGAACCAUUUAACAGUGCCUCCCCCUCCCCUAUCCAAGGCCUCAAUCUCCUCAUCUAUAUUAUGUGGCUUGUCCUCCUCGUCCCAUAAAAUUGUUAUGGGGCCCAGAGAGGUAAUAGUCAUAAAAGCACUCUGUAAGUGGGGGACACUGUGCAGAUGCAGAUGGGGCUCUUAGAUGUUUAAUAAUUCUAGUUGGCACAGAACCAGCAGGGUGUGCAUUCAGCCCAUACUUGGGACAUUGUGUCUUACACUUUCCAAACUACUUCCCAAGGCUGUUGACUUCCCCUGUCAACGUGGAUGUUGGGCUUAGGGUGACCAACACUGAAAGUGCUGUGGGAAACCCCUCAGUCCUGGGCGAAUUAGUUACUUGCUCACUCUGGUUAGGCCUGACUCAGGAACUGAGAUUUUGCUGACUGCCACAAGGUGAUUAAUCAUCUGCAUGCCAAGGAAGGUCCUAGAAGGGCAGGAAAUUAGGGGAGUGGGCUUUUGGCAUCCUGCCAAGGCCCCUUUCCUCCCGGCUAGGACCCCCCAGCUCCACUCCCAGGACCCUUCUUUUGGCCUCUGUUGAGUUGACUUGGAGCCCAAUCUAAGCCUUUAUUUAGAACUUGUCCACUUUUCUCCAUCUCCUCCUCCCUCCCAUGGCUGAGCCACUAUCACUUCUUACCUGGAGGCAACUGCUGAACUUGUCCACCUGUUUCCACUCUGGCCCUCAUCAAAUGCACCCUCCAUGGUCUACAGCAACAACACACCGAUUGCCUUAAAAUGCCAGUAUGAUCACGUAGUCUAUGCCUAAAUUUUUUAAUGGCUACCUCAGUCCUCUUAGGACACUGAACAAACUCCUUAGCUGGCCUGCAAGGCCAGCCCCUUGUCCCUCCUCCACUAUGGUCUUAGCUCUUGCCCCUCCCCCUUGCUCACCUCCUUCCUGCUUUGGGGUCUGAUUCUUGGAAUGCUCUUCCUCCUGCUUAGCCUGGCCAACUCCACUCCUCUCCAGGACCCAGCCCCAACAUCACUUCCUCAUAGAAGCUUUCCUUAGCCUUCCUGAUUGGUCUGGUUUUACCUGAACUCCCUCAUAGCACUUAACACAAAUGUAAUUCUGAUUUGUAUGUGUGUGGAACUACUUGUUGUCCGUCUUCCUAUAAGGCUGUAAACUUAGUGAGGGUAGGAAACAUAUUUUUCUUGUUCUCAGCUGCAUUCUCAGCAAUUUGCACAAUACCCAGGAUAUAAUAGCUGCUCCAUAAAUAUUCUUGGAACAAAUAAAUGAAUGGAUGAUUGAAUGUAUUAUCAGAUGGAUAGAUGGAUGAAGGUUGGAAGGGGUGAAUGGAGGGUAGAUUAUGAUUGGAUUGUGGUUGGAAAGAUAAAUGGAAUGAAUGUGGGUAAUUGGAAGAAUAAGUGGUUAGAUGAGUGGAUGGAUGAGAUGGAUGGUUGGAUGGAAGUGCAGUGGUCAGGGCCUCCUGAGACCCUUCCUGGCUCCCUGUAUCAUCCUCAUUCCAUUUGUGCUCUUGUUUUGUUCUCAUCAACAGUAAUAGCUACCAGUACUCCUGGCAAAGGGGACACACCUUUCCCCAUAUCUUUGGAAAGAUGGUUGCCUCAAGGAGGCAGCAGAGUAGUUGGCAGACCCCAACCUGCUCUGACCUCUUUUUAACCAAAUUCUACUCCAUGUUAGGAUCACUUGGGUGUUUUCUAGGAAUAUGGCCCUCAGUAGCUGCUGAGGUUCUGCGCUCUCAUCCCCUGGACUGGGACCUCCUAGGUCAGAUUCUGCAAUGUGAAUGGCAGAAGCCAGUUGUUGGUGCUGGUGCCUUAGCCCCAAACACACUGAGCCCUACUUAUCCCCUAAAGCAGAGGUUAGCAAAUCUUUUCCACACAGGACCAGACAGUAAAUAUUUAGGCCUUAUAGACCAUAUGGUCUUUGUUGCAACUACUCAACUCUGCUUUUGAAGCAUGAAAGCAGUCGUAGAGAAUAUAUAAAUGAGUGACUGUGUUCUGAUAAAACUUUACAAAAGCAGGUACAUUUGGCCCAGAGGAUAUAGUUUUCUGACUCCUUCCUUAGAGUAGUAGCUUUCAAAGUGUAGUCUUUGGAUCAAAAGCAUUAGCAUUACCUGAGAACUUAUAUGUAAUACAGGUUCUUGGGCCCUGCCCUAGACCUAAUAUAUCAGGACAAAUAUUUUCUGUUUGUACCCCACUUCCUUCUGGGACUCCAAUUACAUAUAUGUUAGGCUGCUGAAAAUUGUUCCAGAGCUCACUGAAUCCCUUUUAAUUUUUUUUUCUUUAAUUCAUUUCGUUUUAAAUAAUUUCUACUGCUGUCUUCGAGUUCACUAAUCUUUUCUUUUGCAGGGUCUGAUCUUCCAUUAAUCCCAUCUAGUAUUGCUUUUUAGUCUGAGACAAUGUAACAUUCAUCUCUAGAAGUUUGAUUUUGGUCUUUUAAAAACAUUCCCCAGGAGUUCCCAUCGUGGCGCAGUGGUUAACAAAUCUGACUAGGAACCAUGAGGUUGCGGGUUCGGUCCCUGCCCUUGCUCAGUGGGUUGGGGAUCUGGCGUUGCCGUGAGCUGUGGUGUAGGUUGCAGACGUGGCUCGGAUCCCGCGUUGCUGUGGCUCUGGUGUAGGCUGGUGGCUACAGCUCCGAUUGGACCCCUAGCCUGGGAACCUCCAUAUGUCACGGGAGCGGCCCAAAGAAAUAGCAAAAAGACAAAAAAAAAAAAA
rnacentral:lncRNA from 9 species